rnacentral:pre_miRNA from 1 species
UUGGUAAUCCCUCCGUCCAACAAAAGAUGUUUCAAGUUUGUCAAAAUUUGGAUGUAUCUAAACAUGAUUUAGUGUAUAGAUGCAUUUAAAUUUGAUCAAAGUUGAGACAUCAUUUGUUGGACGGAGGGAGUACGUA